GGAAUACUCAGUAGGAUAUUACAUUAAUGGUGCGAUCCCGAAAAAUAAUUUUAACACAAGUGUCAGAAUACCAUACCGUCGCAUAACUUUAAAUCCGGUAAGAGCUCACAUCAUAUCAUAUCAUUUCAUUUCAUUGUACCGGAAUGGCCAUAUCAUUCAUAUCAUAGCAUUAAUAUCAUAACUUUAACUUUCAUAAAUAUGAAAUUCGUCCACAUGUAGCCAAAAUAAUUAAACGGGAAAUUAAAAAAAUACUGCACCUCAUAUCCUACCUUGUUAAACUGCUUAAAUUUUGGAAGUCAAAACAAGGUUCACGCUCCAACAAUUUCUUGGAAUAAGAAAACCCAAAAUCACGUUGCAACUAUCUUUUCUUUUCUUUCUGCCUUAUCGUGC
rnacentral:lncRNA from 1 species